rnacentral:rRNA from 1 species
GAUGAACGCUGGCGGCGUGCUUAACACAUGCAAGUCGAACGUGAGAGGUAGCAAUAUCUUGAAAGUGGCGCACGGGUGAGUAACACGUAGGUAACCUGCCUCGGAGUGGGGAUAACAGUUAGAAUGACUGCUAAUACCGCAUGAAUCCAUUAAGAUGGGAAUGUUGAUGGAGAAAACUCUGGUAACUUCGAGAGGGGCCUGCGGUCGAUUAGCUAGUUGGCGGGUAACGCCACAAGGCGACGAUCGAUAGCUGGUCUGAGAGACGAUCAGCCACACGGGAACUGAGACACGGUCCCGACUCCUACGGGGGCAGCAGUGAGGAAUAUUGGGCAAU